UUCCCGGCCUUCUGAGAAUUGGGUGUGCCUUUAACAGCACCUCUAUUGAUUUGCCUGGCUGCUUGAGCGCCGGAACCUCCCCCUGAUCCAACCAAAAGCAACAAUUAAACGGACAAUAACAAGAACUAAAAAGGUUUUUUUUUCAGUUUUUUAGGCAGAAGCAGUUGCUUUACUAGUAGUAGGUUUGCGUUGGGCUCAAGAUGUGGGACUUCCCGUGAAGAGGGUUUUUUCUGAUUCACUUUCUUUGGUCUCAGCUUUGGAGGGUCAGAUAGUGUAUUUGAAUGAAUUGGGAGUUAUCUUUUCUGAUAUCAAAGUCAUAUUGUCUAGUUUUCCUAGGUCUCUCUCAUAUUACUUUAAUGUUGAGGCCCAUAAAUUGGCUAAGCAUGCUCUUAGGAUAGACAAUGAACUUUCUUAGAUGGAAGAAAUCCCCACCUACUAUGUAACCUUUGUUACUUUUGUUAUUUUAACUUUUAUCGGUUACCCAAAAAAAAAAAAGUAGACUACAAUGUUCUCGAGUAGGUGACUUGAGAAAUGGGAAUAUGGAACCGUGUCUGUUAUGAUUGUUAUGUUCUAAUUUGGAGACUGCAAUUGGACAUAAUGUAUGUAUGUAUGUAUCUGUGUGUAAAUAUAUAUAGGGAGAGAGGCAGGGAGAACAAACUCACUGUUAUUUGGUAGAGAUAACCUCUUCUUUGCUUGUUUAUCAGCUUGUGUGGAUCUCUCUUUUGGAUUGCUUUGAGAUCUCGAACUGACAGCAGGUUUUGAGUUUCCUUCUGCAGUUUGAUCUUCUAAAUGUGGCUUGGAUUUUGGCUUGGGAUGUUGUGUGUUGGAAGGCUCAACUAUGGCUGCUGAUUUGCUGGGCGAUGAACUGCAGCCAUCAGAAUGAGCAGCACCAGUUUUCUGUUGCAAAAGAUUUGAGUGCAUAUUUGUUGUAAUUGGCUUUUUCCCAGCAGAUUUUAACUGGGAUUUGGUUCCAUUUUUGCCCUCAGCUGAUCCAUUCUCUCGUACCAUAACUCCAUCUGUAAGAUUUAUAUCUAAAAAUCGGUUUUCCCAAGGGCGAACCGCCAUCCAUCUCUCUAACCAGUUCCAUCCCCAGCUGCUUUUAUCUGGUUCAAAUCCAGAAGGAGCAGCCUGUUGUCUAGAUCCCGCUUGCCACUGCAGGCAGAAUGAUUUAAGCUCAAUGAUAUACGGUAUACUUCAAACAAUUAUUGCAAGGGGUAAA